ACUCCCCUUGACAAGGAUGGAAGAGGUCCUAGUGGCCUGCAACACAUAUACGGUUAAGGCACUGCCACCUACCUCUCUGU
rnacentral:snRNA from 1 species